CACGUAGGGCGCAAGCGUUGUCCGGAAUUAUUGGGCGUAAAGAGCGUGUAGGCGGCCAGGUAGGUCCGUUGUGAAAACUCGAGGCUCAACCUCGAGACGUCGAUGGAAACCAUCUGGCUAGAGUCCGGAAGAGGAGAGUGGAAUUCCUGGUGUAGCGGUGAAAUGCGCAGAUAUCAGGAAGAACACCUAUGGCGAAGGCAGCUCUCUGGGACGGUACUGACGCUGAGACGCGAAAGCGUGGGGAGCAAACAGG
rnacentral:rRNA from 1 species